rnacentral:rRNA from 1 species
GCAAGUCGAACGGAAGGGCCCCUUCGGGGGUACUCGAGUGGCGAACGGGUGAGUAACACGUGGGCAAUCUGCCCUGCACUUCGGGAUAAGCCUGGGAAACUGGGUCUAAUACCGGAUAGGACCUUUAGGCGCAUGUCUUUAGGUGGAAAGCUUUUGCGGUGUGGGAUGGGCCCGCGGCCUAUCAGCUUGUUGGUGGGGUGAUGGCCUACCAAGGCGACGACGGGUAGCCGGCCUGAGAGGGUGUCCGGCCACACUGGGACUGAGAUACGGCCCAGACUCCUACGGGAGGCAGCAGUGGGGAAUAUUGCACAAUGGGCGCAAGCCUGAUGCAGCGACGCCGCGUGGGGGAUGACGGCCUUCGGGUUGUAAACCUCUUUCACCAUCGACGAAGGUCCGGGUUUUCUCGGAUUGACGGUAGGUGGAGAAGAAGCACCGGCCAACUACGUGCCAGCAGCCGCGGUAAUACGUAGGGUGCGAGCGUUGUCCGGAAUUACUGGGCGUAAAGAGCUCGUAGGUGGUUUGUCGCGUUGUUCGUGAAAUCUCACGGCUUAACUGUGAGCGUGCGGGCGAUACGGGCAGACUAGAGUACUGCAGGGGAGACUGGAAUUCCUGGUGUAGCGGUGGAAUGCGCAGAUAUCAGGAGGAACACCGGUGGCGAAGGCGGGUCUCUGGGCAGUAACUGACGCUGAGGAGCGAAAGCGUGGGGAGCGAACAGGAUUAGAUACCCUGGUAGUCCACGCCGUAAACGGUGGGUACUAGGUGUGGGUUUCCUUCCUUGGGAUCCGUGCCGUAGCUAACGCAUUAAGUACCCCGCCUGGGGAGUACGGCCGCAAGGCUAAAACUCAAAGGAAUUGACGGGGGCCCGCACAAGCGGCGGAGCAUGUGGAUUAAUUCGAUGCAACGCGAAGAACCUUACCUGGGUUUGACAUGCACAGGACGCGUCUAGAGAUAGGCGUUCCCUUGUGGCCUGUGUGCAGGUGGUGCAUGGCUGUCGUCAGCUCGUGUCGUGAGAUGUUGGGUUAAGUCCCGCAACGAGCGCAACCCUUGUCUCAUGUUGCCAGCGGGUAAUGCCGGGGACUCGUGAGAGACUGCCGGGGUCAACUCGGAGGAAGGUGGGGAUGACGUCAAGUCAUCAUGCCCCUUAUGUCCAGGGCUUCACACAUGCUACAAUGGCCGGUACAAAGGGCUGCGAUGCCGCAAGGUUAAGCGAAUCCUUUUAAAGCCGGUCUCAGUUCGGAUUGGGGUCUGCAACUCGACCCCAUGAAGUCGGAGUCGCUAGUAAUCGCAGAUCAGCAACGCUGCGGUGAAUACGUUCCCGGGCCUUGUACACACCGCCCGUCACGUCAUGAAA